UCUUGCCUUCCCCUGGGAAAUGAAGAGGAAAUGGGAACUUCAGGCUGCUCCCCAGGGAAGGACACGGGAUGGGUUCCUGCAGCUCUCAAGGCUCCAAUCGAGUGCAGCAGAGAGAUUAGGCCUUGGGAAACUUCCAGAGACAGUGACGACUUCAGUAACUGAGAAGCAGAGGCGGGAGGGCUCGGAGCACAGCCCCGACUCUGGAUGUCGGAGGGGCUGGACAGCAGCCCCUUCUCGCUCAGCCUGGCCCGUCACUCCACAAUGCUCAGCCCUUCUUCCUGGGCUCCCUUUACCACUGGCCUCCUCCCGCUCUGUGUCCUUGCACCAAUUCAAAUUGUAUUUACUGGAAUCACAAGAACAAGCAAGGAGGACCCUUGAUAUUCUCUGACCUUAGGGUCUGGGAGAUUCUGAGCUUGGAAAACUGGGUUGCAACUGCUGAUCCCUCCACUGUCCAUCCCGACUCCCCCGCGCUGUUACCUCUGCUUUCGGGUCCUCCACGCCCUCCGUGGGGACUCCGCCUCCCUCCUAGACCUGGGAGCUGUCUGCACCCACCUCAGCACUGCCUGG
ensembl:lncRNA